rnacentral:lncRNA from 1 species
GGAAAUGUUGUCUCUCACCCUCUCUGUCGGCCCAGGCUGUGAAUUCCAGAGUAGAGGCCGUUUGAGGGGAAGAAGGAGAAGGUGAUGUGGACUCCGAAGGGGUCGUUCUUGUACCAGCAGCAACAGCUGCAGGAGCAGGAUUCAAUGGAGGUGGGCAGGUUCGACAUGAAGGUGGCAUGUGGAUGCCAACCCCAUUGAUGUCCACACACCCCUGACGCCGACUUCUUCAACUCCUUCAAUGGCCAAGACCUUGCCUGAUCAACAACCAUUCCCUCUUUCCCUCUCCCGUACUUCCCUUCUACUCUUCUUGAUCUUUAUCGCUUCUCGUUCCUUCCUCAUCUAGGGUUUAUGGUUUCUUGAUUCCUCCCUGAUGCCGGUGGAAAUUAGGGUUUUCGGAACAAACCUUCGAUAGGUGUUCAUGUGUUUGUUUGGAAUUCUUUACUUCUCUUCUGGAUUUGGUGCGCGAUUGUAAAAGGAGCAUUCUUUCUUUU